rnacentral:rRNA from 1 species
AGAUUGAACGCUGGCGGCAUGCCUUACACAUGCAAGUCGAACGGCAGCACGGGAGCAAUCCUGGUGGCGAGUGGCGAACGGGUGAGUAAUACAUCGGAACGUGCCCAAUCGUGGGGGGAUAACGCAGCGAAAGCUGUGCUAAUACCGCAUAAGAUCUACGGAUGAAAGCAGGGGAUCGCAAGACCUUGCGCGAAUGGAGCGGUCCGAUGGCAGAUUAGGUAGUUGGUGAGGUAAAGGCUCACAAGCCUUCGAUCUGUAGCUGGUCUGAGAGGACGACCAGCCCACGACUGGGACUGAGACACGGCCCAGACCUCCGUACGGGAGGCAGCGAGGUGGGAAUUUUGGACAGUGGGCGAAGCCUGAUCCGAGCCAGUCGCCGCGU